GAGACUGUUGAAAUUGAGGCCUGUUCACAAGAGGUCAUGGAAGAUGCCAGUAUGGCAGAUGUCCAGGGGUCGGAAGAUGAGACCAGCACCACAACACUACAAGAAAGCAGCUUUGCCCAAAACCAGAGGAGGAAGUUUGCGAAAAAGAGAGUUGCUAGCAUUACAGAGGCAC